GAUGAACGCUGGCGGCGUGCCUAAUACAUGCAAGUCGAGCGAACAGACGAGGAGCUUGCUCCUCUGACGUUAGCGGCGGAAGGGUGAGUAACACGUGGAUAACCUACCUAUAAGACUGGGAUAACUUCGGGAAACCGGAGCUAAUAACGGAUAAUAUAUUGAACCGCAUGGUUCAAUAGUGAAAGACGGUUUUGCUGUCACUUAUAGAUGGAUCCGCGCCGCAUUAGCUAGUUGGUAAGGUAACGGCUUACCAAGGCGGCGAUGCGUAGCCGACCUGAGAGGGUGAUCGGCCACACUGGAACUGAGACACGGUCCAGACUCCGACGGGAGGCAGCAGUAGGGAAUCUUCCGCAAUGGGCGAAAGCCUGACGGAGCAACGUCGCGUGAGUGAUGAAGGUCUUCGGAUCGGAAAACUCUGUUAUUAGGGAAUAACAAAUGUGUAAGUAACUAUGCACGUCUUGACGGUACCUAAUCAGAAAGCCACGGCUAACUACGUG
rnacentral:rRNA from 1 species